UGGCCAUCAUGAACUUUUCCUACAUUUUCAGUUGAAUUUGAAUCAUAUCCUUCCUCUUUUCUCCGUAUUUUUAAUUUGCACUAUUUUUGCAAGUGAUUCUUCCUCUUUCUGUCCCAUUUCUGUCUAUAUAUAACUCUCUCAGGUGUCAGGCUGCGCACAGAAGGUAUCCCAGCAGAGACUGACAUCCAUUACUGAAUUAAGGACUGAACACAGCUACAACAUACACUGCUACCUGUUUGGACCCAGCUGGAAGUAUUAGGACUUGCCACAAUGAUCCCCAAAGUCUCCUGCUUGUUACUGAUCUCUUUGGCCUAUCUUCUGAUGCAAACCUGCGAAGGACAGACCUGGGCGCUUUUUCAAAACAAGCACAUCGACUACCCAAUGCCACCAAUUACAAACCCUAAUGCCUACUGUAGCCAAAUGAUGAGGAGUAGGGGAAUGACUACCAAUAAAUGCAAACCAGUCAAUACUUUCAUUAAUGACACCAUCCCAAACAUCCUGAACAUCUGCAGAAGUGGAGGAACUGUUGUCAUACCUGGUUUCUUCGAUAGCACGAAUCAUUUUAAUGUCCUUCAGUGCGAUAGACCUAGUGGUAAGCCUCCAAAUAACUGUCAAUACCGUGGCAGACUGCAAUCCAAUCGCCUCCGUGUGGCCUGUGAUGCCCAGCACAGACCUACUCACUUGGAGCCGGUUCUGCCCUGACCAGAGGGUGAUACUAUUCACUUACCAGCCGCUAAGCCAUGGAGUCUCAGACAACGUCAACACCAUUUGUGUACUAAUGUGCUUAAUACUCCUGGUGCUGUAUCUCAGCAAUGCAUUUUCAAGCUUUUGCAACUUGAUACCUAGAGAUUAUGGUUUGGAGAGAAAAGGUGGUGGGAAAUAGUUUGUGGCCUCAUCUUUUCCCUCCUUCAUUUUUCCUUUAUUUCUUCUUUCCAAGUUAUUUUCUCUUCCUUUCACUGGUUACCCCUCCUCUGAGAAGUGUCACCAAGCUACACUCUUUCAAAGGGGUUUGCAGACCCACCAACACUUCACAGGUGGAAAGCAGGAUACAUGUGGCCCCGUCUAUCCUGACUAUUUAAUGCAGUUCAAAACUAGCCUCAAACUGUAGUGGGAAGACAACAAACAAUCACAUAAGUGUGAAAAAAACCCCUUAAUGUGCAUGAGUGCUCUGUGGUUUGUGCCAUCACCAUUCAGGCCAGGAACUGCUAUGUAACCAUCUGCACUUUCUUCAAUUCCUGUUGGAAACUGUGGCCUGGAUUUUAUUAGCGGGGGGAACACAUAAGCUAGGAGAGGCUAUCGCUGUAUGCUUUUCCCCAAGACAACUGGAAAGAGUAAGAUCCCAUCCCUGCAUCUUCUCUUCCUCCUGCAUCUUAGGGCCCUUCCACACAGCCAUGUAACUCAGAAUAUCAAGGCAGAUAAUCCACAAUAUCUGCUUUGAACUGGAUUAUCUGAGACCGCACUGCUAUAUUAUCUGGUUCAAUGUGGGAUUUAUAUAGCUGUGUGGAAGGGACCUUAUUUUUGUUGCUGGGUUAAAAAUGUUAUGUCCCAAUUGGUUCUAUCAUAAAAAAAACAUUGAAAAGGUUUAUUAAACCACAAAACCUUGUGGUUUAAUAAACUUAGGCCCCUUCCACACUACUAAAUAAAAUCUCUCCAGUUCUGCUUUAAACUGGAAUAUAUGGCAGUGUGGACUCAAAUAACCCAGUUCAAAGCAGAUAUUGUGGGAUUUUCUACCUUGUUAUUUUGGGUUAUGUGGCUUUGUGGAAGGGCCCUAAACCAGUACUGUCCCUGACCAUUCAGGACAGUUGGAAAAUAUGGAUAAGGCAAGGUGUUUCUUGCUAAAGCCUGAAAGCCCCAGGCCUGAUUCACAAAGAAACGUGUUCCUUGAAUUUGAGCUUUUCAAAGGUUCCCAUUUACAACAUGAAGAGUCUGAUUCAGGCAUGUUAGCCUUUAAUCCAGUAUAAGGGAGGAAAAUAUACAUUUCAAAUGUCAAAUGUCUACUGACUGUGCUUGCUCAAUUCCUUGCAAAAAUGUGCUUCUAUGCUCAUUAAACAUUUAUUAAAGCAUUAUUUCAAAAA